UACAGAGGUGGCAAGCGUUGUUCGGAAUUACUGGGCGUAAAGGGCGCGUAGGCGGCCUUCUAAGUCAGACGUGAAAUCCCCCGGCUUAACCUGGGAACUGCGUCUGAUACUGGGAGGCUCGAGUAUGGGAGAGGGAUGUAGAAUUCCAGGUGUAGCGGUGAAAUGCGUAGAUAUCUGGAGGAACACCGGUGGCGAAGGCGACAUCCUGGACCGGUAUUGACGCUGAGGCGCGAAAGCCAGGGGAGCAAACGGG
rnacentral:rRNA from 1 species